UUGGGCUAACCUACCUAUAAGACUGGCAAUAACUCCGGGAAACCGGGGCUAAUGCCGGAUAACAUUUAGAACCGCAUGGUUCUAAAGUGAAAGAUGGUUUUGCUAUCACUUAUAGAUGGACCCGCGCCGUAUUAGCUAGUUGGUAAGGUAACGGCUUACCAAGGCAACGAUACGUAGCCGACCUGAGAGGGUGAUCGGCCACACUGGAACUGAGACACGGUCCAGACUCCUACGGGAGGCAGCAGUAGGGAAUCUUCCGCAAUGGGCGAAAGCCUGACGGAGCAACGCCGCGUGAGUGAUGAAGGUCUUCGGAUCGUAAAACUCUGUUAUUAGGGAAGAACAAAUGUGUAAGUAACUGUGCACGUCUUGACGGUACCUAAUCAGAAAGCCACGGCUAACUACGUGCCAGCAGCCGCGGUAAUACGUAGGUGGCAAGCGUUAUCCGGAAUUAUUGGGCGUAAAGCGCGCGUAGGCGGUUUCUUAAGUCUGAUGUGAAAGCCCACGGCUCAACCGUGGAGGGUCAUUGGAAACUGGGAAACUUGAGUGCAGAAGAGGAAAGUGGAAUUCCAUGUGUAGCGGUGAAAUGCGCAGAGAUAUGGA
rnacentral:rRNA from 1 species